UAAGGAAUAUUGGUCAAUGGAGGCAACUCUGAACCAGCCAUGCCGCGUGGAGGAUGAAGGUCCUCUGGAUUGUAAACUUCUUUUAUAUGGGACGAAAAAAGGCUUUUCUAAGUCGUCUGACGGUACCAUAUGAAUAAGCACCGGCUAACUCCGUGCCAGCAGCCGCGGUAAUACGGAGGGUGCAAGCGUUAUCCGGAUUCACUGGGUUUAAAGGGUGCGUAGGUGGGUUGGUAAGUCAGUGGUGAAAUCCCCGAGCUUAACUUGGUAACUGCCAUUGAUACUAUCAGUCUUGAAUACCGUGGAGGUCGGCGGAAUAUGUCAUGUAGCGGUGAAAUGCUUAGAUAUGACAUAGAACACCAAUUGCGAAGGCAGCUGGCUACGCGGAUAUUGACACUGAGGCAC
rnacentral:rRNA from 1 species